AUUGAACGCUGGCGGCAGGCCUAACACAUGCAAGUCGAGGGGAGCGGCGGACGGGUGAGUAAUGCCUAGGACACUGCCUGGUAGUGGGGGAUAACGUCCGGAAACGGGAGCUAAUACCGCAUAAUAUCAGAUGAGCCUAGGUCGGAUUAGCUAGUUGGUGGGGGAAAGGCCGACCAAGGCGCCGAUCCGUAAAUGGUCUGAGAGGAUGAUCAGUGACACUGGAACGGAGAAACGGUCCCGACUCAUACGCGAGGCAGCAGUGGGGAAUAUGGGACAAUGGGCGAAAUACUGAUCCAGCCAUGCCGCGUGUGUGAAGAAGGUCUUCGGAUUGUAAAGCACUUUAAGUUGGGAGGCGUUACCAACAGAAUAAGCACCGGCUAACUUCGUGCCAGCCGCCGCGGUAAUAC
rnacentral:rRNA from 1 species